rnacentral:lncRNA from 1 species
GGCACUCAGAAACGGACGACGGCCCUUGCAGCGACUGUGAUGCGACAUGCGUGAGCAAGGUCAGCCGCAUCCCGGCAAGCCUGCAGUGCAAAAAUCGGGGCGCUGCCAGAACUGGCUGUGACACUUGCGAGACCGUUUUCACUGUCCGGGCUGUACAUACCUUUUGUUGAAAAGAUCGUGUUAUUUCUUCAUUUGUCAACCACCCUUCUCUCUGAUUUGCUAAAUGUGACACGAGGAUCCUCGAAUAAGCCACGACACGAAUAAUUCCACUCAAGAAGAGGCGAACCAAGACACGGAUUAUUACAUCUUUUGCCGCUUUCUGCUGACUCCACAUCCUGUUAGACGCCUUAAUGGUGACUGUCUUGUGAGUCUGCUACCACGAGAGGUUUUCUGUACCGGACGAGAGUGCUUGAUGGAGACUGAGUUGUUUUUCUUUGGCCAGAUGGUCGUAGUAGGGUUACUAUGACGCGCUGAAUUGAAGCAGGUUUCCUCUGUGUCGUGACGGGAGCGCUGCUGUUCGUAGUGACGGUAUCUCGUUGUAGAGAGGGAUGGCCAGUUUCAGCGACGGCCAGAGUAGGGCUGUAGGUGCUCGCCGAGGAUAGAUUUCGUGCUAUGUAAACACUGCAUGCUUCUUAGAAUAGACCUUCGCUAUUCAUGCGGCUAACCAUUGUUUUUUCGAAUUUCGACAGGGGUUUAUGCCAAUUGUUUGAGAAACGCUGAGCCCGAUUAUCGUGGACACGCUCAUGCCUCGAUGCUGCGGUCGUCUAGACAUCAACAUGCUGCCACAGUCUGCCUCCCGCCAGGGCAAACCUCGACCACAGAUGCGCGUGCGAGAAAUGGAGGAGAGGUAGACAACCCCUCGAUGCUCUUGAGAACUCAACUUUCACACGUUCAAUACAUCGAAUCAGCUGGCCCCUCAACAGCCCGAUCAUCCGUGUGUGCCGCGGAUCGCCGUGCGAGUUGCCCAGCAUGGGAGUAUGAUAUAGUGG